UUGAACGCUGGCGGCAGGCCUAACCCAUGCAAGUCGAGCGGAUGAAGGGAGCUUGCUCCUGGAUUCAGCGGCGGACGGGUGAGUAAUGCCUAGGAAUCUGCCUGGUAGUGGGGGAUAACGUCCGGAAACGGGCGCUAAUACCGCAUACGUCCUGAGGGAGAAAGUGGGGGAUCUUCGGACCUCACGCUAUCAGAUGAGCCUAGGUCGGAUUAGCUAGUUGGUGGGGUAAAGGCCUACCAAGGCGACGAUCCGUAACUGGUCUGAGAGGAUGAGCAGUCACACUGGAACUGAGACACGGUCCAGACUCCUACGGGAGGCAGCAGUGGGGAAUAUUGGACAAUGGGCGAAAGCCUGAUCCAGCCAUGCCGCGUGUGUGAAGAAGGUCUUCGGAUUGUAAAGCACUUUAAGUUGGGAGGAAGGGCAGUAAGUUAAUACCUUGCUGUUUUGACGUUACCAACAGAAUAAGCACCGGCUAACUUCGUG
rnacentral:rRNA from 1 species